rnacentral:lncRNA from 1 species
AGCCAUAUCAUGAAGUAGCCAAAGAAGUUCAUGGUGACUCCAAUUGAGAGCACCACCCAUGGCGGCGAGACCUCGUUGAUUAGCCCUGAGAUGACACCAACAUUGGCACCAAGGUCUUUGAAGAAGCUGAGAAGGUUGAGAGUGGAUUGAUCAUAGCCUAAAGAGGAUUUGACAACGUUGGAGUAUAGGCCAAGUGACUCCAAUUGAGAGCACCACCCAUGGCGGCGAGACCUCGUUGAUUAGCCCUGAGAUGACACCAACAUUGGCACCAAGGUCUUUGAAGAAGCUGAGAAGGUUGAGAGUGGAUUGAUCAUAGCCUAAAGAGGAUUUGACAACGUUGGAGUAUAGGCCAAACAUGUAGGUUGCACCAGCAACAGCCAUGAUUAGUUUAGAGGCAAAUAGCAUGAACCAACGGCCGGUGAGGACUUGGUAGAUGAAGGUC